rnacentral:rRNA from 1 species
GAAUUUAAUAUAAUGAUUUAUAAGAAUAAUUUUGUUUAAAAUAAUGAUAAAUAAUUAUAAUUUAGUUGGGAGGACUUUUAAAUUUAAAUAACUUUAAAUAAAAUAAAUAUAUAAAUUAAUAUAUAAAAAUAUUUAGAAUGAUUAUUAAAUUAAUUAAGAAUUAAUUACCUUAGGGAUAACAGCGUAAUAUUUUUAUAGAGAUCAUAUUGAUAAAAAUGAUUGC